rnacentral:lncRNA from 1 species
AUUUGGAAUCAGUAACAGACUACAAUUUGUAAGUAAUCUACUCACUACCUUAGGGUAGUAAUAUGUACUCUUGGUACUAUUAUGAACCCUUUACCGUUAGAAGGUACAGAGUUGUCAGUUUGAGGGUCCUCAUCCAAUGAAUGGUACAAAUGUAGCACUUUUUUUUCUGAAGCUGUACUGUUUAAGUGUUUAGGUCUUUGUACAGAUUAAGCGUGCAUGUAGACAGACAGGUUAGCACAAUUCCCAGGCGGCUGUGAAUGGGGUCUUCAUCUCAGGUUCUGUUGCCUUCGAAGGUUGUUCAUCUGGACAAGGAGGAUGAGAUUCAGAAGAUUCCUCUCCAGCCUCCAUACUAUGACAUGGCACAGUCUGAGUCCACUGCGUUCACCGAUAAGCCGAACUCUGGUCACAAGGACUGUGAUGUCCAGUAUGCGGAACUGGAUACUGCAGCUUUGGCUUCUUCUCCCAGCCCACGAAGCUCUGUGCACACUGGCGGGGACCUUGUCGAGUACGCAACCAUCCAGCCUAGCUCACACUAACGCAUGCCAUUGUAGGCCUUUCCCCCUAUGACUCUGGCCUCAAGGUACACAGACUGAUGCACUCCUAUGUUUCUUUUCCUCUGUUCGUCCCUCACUCUCUCUCACUGAGCACUGAAUUCCCUCUGUGUUUCCUGUUUGUGUCUUCUUUCUUCUGUUGUUUGCUUUUGCCUUUAUCUAUGUAUCUAUCUGCUGUCCCUGGCUGCCUUCUAAUUGGAUAGACAUUUUGUAUUGUUUAAUAAAAAUCACAGUAAAUAAUAAACUAUCCACAAAUAAGCUACACACACACACACACACACACACACACAUUCAGUAUAUGUAAAAUGUAACUUUUUUACAUAGAAAAAUAAACACCAUAAUAACAACAAAGACUACACUCUUUAAAACUCUUUGUUUUGUUCUUCUAAUGCAAUGAUAUUCAGUAUUAUAUUAUUAUAAUAUAUCAUUAUUUUCAGGUUAUUACAUAUUGAUAUAUAACAUUCAGUACAAAAUACUGAACAUAUAAACACACUAUGAACCCGUAUAUCAAUUUGUUUGCAUUACUGUAGAUCAUUUUUUAAGGAAAUUAACAAAAAAUAUUACACUAUAUAUUAUAUGAUUAUUACUAUAUAAUUUGAUCUAUAUUUGUAACAUUGAGAAAAAAAGGCUUACAUACUAUGAGCCCAAAAAGUAUUACCACAACCAAAAAAAGUAUAUUUGCAUUAGACAUUAAACAGAAAAUAAACCACAUAAAAUACACUAUUCAAAAACUCAUAGAUUUUUUUUUUUAUCUAAUGCAACAACAUUGAAUACAAACUAUGUGUUCAAGAUUUUAUUAUUAUUAUUAUUAUUAUUAUUAUUAUUGUUGUUGUUGUUGUUGUUAAUAUUAUUAUUAUGUGUUUGUUUGAUUAUUACUUAUUAAUCAGAUCAAUCUGUUAUGCACCAGAAUAAACCAGUAAUUCAUCAAGAUUAAUU